rnacentral:rRNA from 1 species
GCUUGCCUCAAAGAUUAAGCCAUGCAUGUCUAAGUACAAGCCGCCGCGCGCGGCGAGACUGCGGACGGCUCAUUAAAUCGGUUAUGACUCCACUGGGGCCAGAGUCACCACGUGGAUAACGUGCGGUAACUCCGGUGCUAAUACAUGCAACAAGGCUCCGACCCCGGUCUCGGCCGGGGGAAGGGCGCACUUAUUAGGCGAAAACCGACCGGCCGCCUCGGCGUUGGUGGACGACACCCGAGUAAUUGCCGCCGAUCGCACGGCCUCGAGCCGGCGACGCCGCCACCGAGUUUCUGAUCUAUCAUGCUGUCGACGGUUGGUGCUAUGCCAACCGUGGCGUUAACGGAUAACAGAGAAUCUGGGUUCGAUUCCGGAGAGGGAGCCUACUAAACGGCUACCCCAUCUAAUGAAGGCAGCAGGCGCGCAAAUUACCCAAUCCUGACACGGGGAGGUAUAACAAGAAAUAACAAUACGGGGCCUUUAUAGGUCCCGCGGGUGGAAAGGAGACCAUUUAAAACCUUUAACGAGGGUCAAUUGGGGGGCAAGUGUGUGGCGCCCACACGCGCGGGAAUUCCCGCUCCCAUAGCGUAUAUUAAAGGUGGUGGAGAUAAAAAGCUCCCACUUUGAUUUUGGAAUGGGCCCAGUUGGCCCCCCCCAAGGGGAGAUACUGACUGGCCUGUGCUUCUUCUCAGAGACUGCGUCUGCGCUUCACUGUGUGGGCCUCCGACUCACGACCUUACUUUUAGAAAUUAACAGUGUUCAAAGCAGCAUAUCGCUUGUAUACCAUUAGCAUGGGAUAAUAGAAUAGGACCCUCCCCCUAUAUUGUUUUNUUGUAAGACCCCCGCAAUGNCUACAGGGGCACUUGGCGCCCACCCUAUUUCCAUGUCACAGGCGGAAAAUUCUUGCAUUCUCUCCAAGACGAACUGCUGCGAAAGCAUUUGCCAAGAAUGUUUUCAUUAAUCAAGAACGAAAGUCAGAGUGUGCGAAGGCGAUCAGAUACCGCCGUAGUUCUGACCGUAAACGAUGCCGACUGGCAAUUGGGCGCACUUCUGCCGAGGUUGCGGCCAGCAGUAUUCUACCCGGGAAACCAAAGUCACUGGGCUCCGGGGGGAGUAUGGUUGCAAAGCUGAAACUUAAAGGAAUUGACGGAAGGGCACCACCAGGAGUGGAGCCUGCGGCUUAAUUUGACUCAACACGGGAAACCUCACCCGGCCCGAACACUGUUAUGACAGACAGGUUGAGAGCUCUUUCUCGAUUCAGUGGUUGGUGGUGCAUGGCCGUUCUUAGUUCGUGGAGCGAUCUGUCUGGUUAAUUCCGAUAACGAACGAGACUCUUGCCUGCUAAAUAGACGGCGCCGACGCAAGUCACGGCGACCGCAUGCUUCUUAGAGGGACAAGCGGCUAUUAUCCGCGUGAAGCGAAGAGCAAUAACAGGUCUGUGAUGCAAGUUCGGCGCCGCACGCGCGCUACACUGCUUGCAUCAACGUGUGCCACCCUCGCCUGACGGCGCGGGCAAUCCGUUGAAACGCAAGCGUGCUAGGGAUCGGAGAUUGCAAUUGUUCUCCGUCAACGAGGAAUUCCUUGUACUCACGAGUCAUCAGCUCGCGGGGAAUCUGUCCCUGCCCUUUGUACACACCGCCCGUCGCUACUACCGAUUGAGUGGUUUAGUGAGGCUCACGGACCGCGCGCGGCACUCGGCGCUUUCGGGCGCUCGUCGCGAGUGGAAAGUGAUACGAACUUGAUCACUUCUAGGAAGUAAAAGUCGUAACAAGGUUUUCGUAGGUGAACCUGCGGAAGGAUCAA